rnacentral:rRNA from 1 species
UGAGAGCGGCGGACGGGUGAGUAAUGCCUAGGAAUCUGCCUGGUAGUGGGGGAUAACGCUCGGAAACGGACGCUAAUACCGCAUACGUCCUACGGGAGAAAGCAGGGGACCUUCGGGCCUUGCGCUAUCAGAUGAGCCUAGGUCGGAUUAGCUAGUUGGUGAGGUAAUGGCUCACCAAGGCGACGAUCCGUAACUGGUCUGAGAGGAUGAUCAGUCACACUGGAACUGAGACACGGUCCAGACUCCUACGGGAGGCAGCAGUGGGGAAUAUUGGACAAUGGGCGAAAGCCUGAUCCAGCCAUGCCGCGUGUGUGAAGAAGGUCUUCGGAUUGUAAAGCACUUUAAGUUGGGAGGAAGGGCAUUAACCUAAUACGUUGGUGUCUUGACGUUACCGACAGAAUAAGCACCGGCUAACUCUGUGCCAGCAGCCGCGGUAAUACAGAGGGUGCAAGCGUUAAUCGGAAUUACUGGGCGUAAAGCGCGCGUAGGUGGUUCGUUAAGUUGGAUGUGAAA